rnacentral:lncRNA from 10 species
CAAGAGAGAGAGACUGGAGAAGGAGGGAGGGGAAAGAGAGAGGGUAGGGGGAGAGAGGAGAGAGGGAGGAGAGGAGAGGAGAAAAAAAAAAAAGAGAGAGACAGAGAGACUGAGAACCAGGACUCACACCCAGGGCUGCACCUUUAAGUAAGGCUAUACUUAUAACCUGUGAAAAACAAAGUAUUUUUGUUUCUUCUACUGAUUUUCCCUUCUCAUAGAAGAUUACUCCCAGAGCUUAGUUUAAGUAGCAAAUUCCAGUUUAGCCUUAAUCUUUCAGGUUUGGGAGACUCAUCUCCCUUCACCCCAAGCCUAGCUCAUAGUAGUGAUUUUUAUUCUGAAGAGGGAAAUCAACUAACAAACAGGAUGAGUGAGGACAAUAUCCAGAUAUUAGCUCCUCCUCAUCAGCCACAGAAGUUUGUGUCUACUCUCUAGCUCCACCUACUGGACCUUGUGUAAAUCACCUGAAUAAAUGCACAAGCGCUCACUGCAAGACCCCAUGCUAUACAAGGCACUGAGGGAAAGGAAGCAACAUUAUUCUUUCAGGGACUGCUAGGAUUAAAAGAAACUUUUAAGGCGAAUCUCCUCUUUUACUGAAGAGAAAACUAAGUGCUAGAUGCAUUGGGCAUUUGCUGCAUGUGGAGUCAAAUUGGCCAGAGUUUGAACCAUGGUCCUGCCACUUCCUGAUAAUGGCACCUCAGAUGCAGCCUACAUCAAGGAAGCUGCCUGCUGUUAGGGGAACAGGAUACCUGCAGAGGCUCCGGUCCUGACAAUGCCUUCAGCUCCACCUCCCACCAAAGACCUGUGUGGUGUCAGCAGCAGCCCCAUUUGCAGAACUUCCCAGAGCAGGUUAUCUGCAAUGGAAGCAGUGAUGCAGCACCCACAUGUCCCAGAGGAAGGGUUGUCAGCUGACAGCUCACAGCUGGAUCACGCUGGGGGAUUUUUUUUCUUUCCCCUGGAGAAAAUGCAUCUAAUGACUGAUUGAGAUGACGAACAGAAGUCUGGCCCUUUGCGUAUCUGGGCUGCUGACCCAAUAAAAUGGAGCCCCUGUGACCUGCUUUCAGGGCUUUCACAACUGGUCCCGCAUGACGACCCUGCCUGACAACCCCAACUUGGCUUCAGCCUUCCUCUUGCUGGAUGACUUCAGCAAGUCAGACACUCUCCAUGCAUGUGCCUUCUCGUUUAUAAAACAAAGACAGGAUUAUUGUGAGAAUCAAAUAAAAUAAUGGAUAUAAGCA